rnacentral:rRNA from 1 species
UACGGGGGGAGCAAGCGUUGUUCGGAUUUACUGGGCGUAAAGGGCGCGUAGGCGGCGCCGCAAGUCGACUGUGAAAUCUCCGGGCUUAACCCGGAAAGGUCAGCCGAUACUGCGGGGCUAGAGUGCAGAAGGGGCAACUGGAAUUCUCGGUGUAGCGGUGAAAUGCGUAGAUAUCGAGAGGAACAUCGGUGGCGAAGGCGGCCUUCUGGACAGUGACUGACGCUGAGACGCGAAAGCGUGGGGAGCAAACAGG